rnacentral:rRNA from 1 species
AACGAACGCUGGCGGCAUGCCUAACACAUGCAAGUCGAACGAACCCUUCGGGGUUAGUGGCGCACGGGUGCGUAACGCGUGGGGAUCUGCCCUUUGCUUCGGAAUAACAGUUAAAAAUGACUGCUAAUACCGGAUGAUGUCGAAAGACCAAGGAUUUAUCGGCAAAGGAUGAACCCGCGUAGGAUUAGCUAGUUGGUGGGGUAAAGGCCUACCAAGGCGACGAUCCUUAGCUGGUCUGAGAGGAUGAUCAGCCACACUGGGACUGAGACACGGCCCAGACUCCUACGGGAGGCAGCAGUGGGGAAUAUUGGACAAUGGGCGAAAGCCUGAUCCAGCAAUGCCGCGUGAGUGAUGAAGGCCUUAGGGUUGUAAAGCUCUUUUACCAGGGAUGAUAAUGACAGUACCUGGAGAAUAAGCUCCGGCUAACUCCGUGCCAGCCGCCGCGGUAAUAC